rnacentral:rRNA from 1 species
GAUGAACGCUGGCGGCGUGCCUAAUACAUGCAAGUCGAGCGAACAGAUAAGGAGCUUGCCCCUUUGACGUUAGCGGCGGACGGGUGAGUAACACGUGGGUAACCUACCUAUAAGACUGGAAUAACUCCGGGAAACCGGGGCUAAUGCCGGAUAACAUUUAGAACCGCAUGGUUCUAAAGUGAAAGAUGGUUUUGCUAUCACUUAUAGAUGGACCCGCGCCGUAUUAGCUAGUUGGUAAGGUAACGGCUUACCAAGGCAACGAUACGUAGCCGACCUGAGAGGGUGAUCGGCCACACUGGAACUGAGACACGGUCCAGACUCCUACGGGAGGCAGCAGUAGGGAAUCUUCCGCAAUGGGCGAAAGCCUGACGGAGCAACGCCGCGUGAGUGAUGAAGGUCUUCGGAUCGUAAAACUCUGUUAUUAGGGAAGAACAAAUGUGUAAGUAACUGUGCACGUCUUGACGGUACCGAAUCAGAAAGCCACGGCUAACUACGU